CUUCCCCUUCUUUCUUCGUUUCGAUCCGAUCUGGCAGCCGUGGAUGAACACUGAUCUGGGGUUUGCUCCUCUGCUCAUAGGGUGACCAAGAGGUCCUGCCGAGCUCAAGCUCGUCCACGACGACCCACCACGGCAGGCGGAGCAGCGGGUUAGGGAGGGAAAUCAGGCGAUGGCCAGCAAGUCAAGGCCGUCACGACGGCCCGGGCGCUCGAGCUCGCCGCCACCGCCGGGAAGGCUGCCGCCGACUGCGUCAUCCCCACCUUCAAGAAAUGUCCUCUUUGGUGUCUGUUACGUCUCUGAGUUGGGUUUCGGUGGACCUCUUCGUUGCGCACGGCUGAGCUGAACGUCCUCGGCGGUGGUGGCGGCGCGUGUGAGAUCCUCCUCCAUGACAAGGCCGCCGCCGCCUCAGCCCCCCUCCGCCGGUGGACCCUCGCCUCUCCGACAAGGCCGCCACCGGAUCCCCUCCUAUCCAACAGCAACGCCUCCGGAUCCACUCGUCCUCGACAACGAUGGCACCGAGGAGCACCAGGAGCUUCAGAUCCGCUCGCCAGAAGAAGGCUGUGAAGAUCUUCCCCCGCCCUACCUCUGGACCUCUUCGCCCCAUCGUGCAAUGCCAGACCCGCAAGUACAACAUGAAGGCCAGGGCUGGCAGGGGCCUACUGCUGUUGCUGGGUAGAGUCCAGCCAUGCUACUGCUAGGUGUUGUGUGUUCUGGAAGAUGGAAGAGGAAGAAAACCUAUUUUUGUUGAACUAAAUUUUCUGUAUUCUGUUUUGUUGUACGUAUUAUUUUUUUAGUUUUGUAUAGGAACAAGUGAUACUAUUUUGUAGGGCUUUAUGGCCUGUGAUGUAAACAUAUGUAGUGCUGAAAUAUGAAAUUAUUUGCAAAAUUUGUCAAAAAGGUGGAUCAUAUGUAUGAAUAUGUGAAUGGGCUGAAAA